AUUUUGAUGUACAGAGACAUGUAAAUGAAUGUAUAAAAAGCAUGUAUAUAACUAAAUGUUUCAGUUACAAGUUCAGUUGUGUAAGGUUCUAAAUUACAGUGAAUUUCAUUGUACAGUUAGUUUACUAUCACUUGUGGUUGUUGCUUGCCUUCGUGCAAGCCAUGUAUAUUGAAAUGUGAUCCUGGGAAUUAUUUAUUUCUUUAUACAUGUACUCGUUGUUGUUGAGCCUUGGGCGAACAGAGGAGGUGCUGUUCGUUCGGCGUAUGUGCGUGGGCCCGGAUCGACCAAAUAGGCGAUAGCGGGACGUGACAAGUUCACAUGCUACUACUUAGGAAAUCAUCUUUAUUCCUAAGUUUAUGUCAUCAAACUGUAAGUGUUCCAACUACACUAGUCCAAAUGCCACUCUUUGGUUUACAUG
rnacentral:lncRNA from 1 species